rnacentral:rRNA from 1 species
UAGCUAGUUGGUGAGGUAACGGCUUACCAAGGCGACGAUCUGUAGCGGGUCUGAGAGGAUGAUCCGCCACACUGGAACUGAGACACGGUCCAGACUCCUACGGGAGGCAGCAGUGGGGAAUUUUGGACAAUGGGGGCAACCCUGAUCCAGCCAUGCCGCGUGAGUGAAGAAGGCCUUCGGGUUGUAAAGCUCUUUCGGCCGGGAAGAAAUCGCAUGGGCCAAUACCCUGUGUGGAUGACGGUACCGGAAUAAGAAGCACCGGCUAACUACGUGCCAGCAGCCGCGGUAAUACGUAGGGUGCGAGCGUUAAUCGGAAUUACUGGGCGUAAAGCGUGCGCAGGCGGUUUUGUAAGACAGGCGUGAAAUCCCCGGGCUCAACCUGGGAACUGCGUUUGUGACUGCAAGGCUAGAGUACGGCAGAGGGGGGUGGAAUUCCACGUGUAGCAGUGAAAUGCGUAGAGAUGUGGAGGAACACCAAUGGCGAAGGCAGCCCCCUGGGUCGAUACUGACGCUCAUGCACGAAAGCGUGGGUAGCAAACAGGAUUAGAUACCCUGGUAGUCCACGCCCUAAACUAUGUCAACUAGGUGUUGGGUGGGUAAAACCAUUUAGUACCGUAGCUAACGCGUGAAGUGGACCGCCUGGGGAGUACGGCCGCAAGGUUAAAACUCAAAGGAAUUGACGGGGACCCGCACAAGCGGUGGAUGAUGUGGAUUAAUUCGAUGCAACGCGAAAAACCUUACCUACCCUUGACAUGCCAGGAACUUGCCAGAGAUGGCUUGGUGCCCGAAAGGGAGCCUGGACACAGGUGCUGCAUGGCUGUCGUCAGCUCGUGUCGUGAGAUGUUGGGUUAAGUCCCGCAACGAGCGCAACCCUUGUCGUUAAUUGCCAUCAUUUAGUUGGGCACUUUAGCGAGACUGCCGGUGACAAACCGGAGGAAGGUGGGGAUGACGUCAAGUCCUCAUGGCCCUUAUGGGUAGGGCUUCACACGUCAUACAAUGGUCGGUACAGAGGGUCGCCAAGCCGCGAGGUGGAGCCAAUCCCAGAAAGCCGAUCGUAGUCCGGAUUGCAGGCUGCAACUCGCCUGCAUGAAGUCGGAAUCGCUAGUAAUCGUGGAUCAGCAUGUCACGGUGAAUACGUUCCCGGGUCUUGUACACACCGCCCGUCACACCAUGGGAGCGGGUUCCGCCAGAAGUAGGUAGCCUAACCGCAAGGAGGACGCUUACCACGGCGGGGUUCGUGACUGGGGUGAAGUCGUAACAAGGUAGCCGUAGGGGAACCUGCGGCUG